GCUGGGCAUGAUGGUGUGUGCCUGUAGUCCCAGCUACUUGGGGGCUGAGGCAGGAGGAUCGCUUGAGCCCGGGAGAUCAAGGCUACAGUGAGCUGUGUUCAUGCCACUAUACCCCAGCCUGGGCAACAAAGUGAGUCCCUGACUCAA
rnacentral:SRP_RNA from 2 species